CCUACGGGAGGCAGCAGUAGGGAAUUUUGCGCAAUGGGCGAAACCCUGACGCAGCAACGCCGCGUGAUCGAUGAAGCCCUUCGGGGUGUAAAGCUCUGUCAGUGGGGACGAAACCUGACGGUACCCACAGAGGAAGCACCGGCUAACUCCGUGCCAGCAGCCGCGGUAAUAGGGGGGGUCCAAGCGUUGUCCGGAAUCAUUGGGGGUAAAGGGUUCGUAGGUGGCUCGUUAAGUCUGGUGUUAAAGGCGGAGGCUCAACUUCCGUAUGGCAUUGGAUACUGGCGGGCUUGAUUGCGGUAGAGGUAGAGGGAAUUCCUGGUGUAGCGGUGAAAUGCGUAGAUAUCAGGAGGAACAGCGGUGGCGUAGGCGCUUUACUGGGCCGUAAUUGACACUGAGGAACGAAAGCCGGGGUAGCAAAUGGGAUUAGAUACCCGUGUAGUC
rnacentral:rRNA from 1 species